UACGUAGGGUGCGAGCGUUAAUCGGAAUUACUGGGCGUAAAGAGUGCGUAGGCGGAUAUAUAAGUUAGAUGUGAAAUCCCCGAGCUUAACUUGGGAACAGCAUUUAAGACUGUAUGUCUAGAGUUUGUCAGAGGGGGGUAGAAUUCCAAGUGUAGCAGUGAAAUGCGUAGAGAUUUGGAGGAAUACCAGUGGCGAAGGCGGCCCCCUGGGACAGAACUGACGCUGAGGCACGAAAGCGUGGGUAGCAAACAGG
rnacentral:rRNA from 1 species